AGGAAAAGAAUAACACCACGAUGGAGAAUCCUGGCACACACUACCUUAGCCAGGUGCUAAACAUCAAGAGGUAUAAGUCAUGUUGUAUCAUGAGAGUGAAAUCAUUUACUUGUCUGGCUGAUCUCUGGCAGUUCAGAUGUUGAAGGCAUUGCUGACCCUUCCCUCUGGUUGAGGCAGCAUAACAUCAGAGAGCAAAUUUCUCAUGACUCCUACGGUCUAAGAAGAUGGUCCAGCUGACCGUGCCAACUCUCAAAUGCUAUCUGGGAUGCCACCACUGCCCACAUCACUGAUUCAUGAGUUCAUCUUUGGCAAGACAGCCACAGAAUUACAUUUCUACGGAGAACUGAUAACUUCGUGAGGGGAGAAGGUUAGCCUGUCACAGGGUGAAUAUCAUACAACAUAAAGCCCAAAUGCUAUCACGGUAUAAAAAGUCAUCAAGUAUUUUACAAAAUGAGGUUCUUGCUGCUUGGAUUCCAUCAGGCAGCAAUUUGUACUCUGAUUACCUAAAGUUGCUUGUCUGUCUCACAGCAUUUGCCUGCCUGUAGUUUAUCAGUUUUCCUCUAAAGGGGAUUUAAUAUUCUGUCAAUUUCCCCAUUGUUUAUGGCACUGUUUUUGCAGAUAGUAUCUGAAAAUAAACAAAAAAU
rnacentral:lncRNA from 1 species